GGCCGCGUGGCCUAAUGGUUAGGGCGUCGGAUUUCGGUUCCACCCGUUUUUAAAAAUAUGGGUUUCUCCUCCCUCCGAAGGUUGUGCGUUCGAAUCGCAUCGUGGUCG
rfam:Trichophyton equinum CBS 127.97 supercont1.21 genomic scaffold, whole genome shotgun sequence.